rnacentral:rRNA from 1 species
GACGAACGCUGGCGGCGUGCUUAACACAUGCAAGUCGAACGAAGUGGCGAACGGGUGAGUAAUAAGUGAGUAACCUGCCCUCCUUUUUGGGAUAAGCCUUGGAAACGGGGUCUAAUACCGGAUAAAGGGGGAUGGGCUCGCGGCCUCUCAGCUUGUUGGUGGGGUGAUGGCCUACCAAGGCGACGACGGGUAGCCGGCCUGAGCGGGCGACCGGCCACAUUGGGACUGAGAGACGGCCCAAAUUCCUACGGGAGGCAGCAGUGGGGAAUAUUGCACAAGGGGGGAAACCCUGAUGCAGCAACGCCGCGUGCGGGAUGACGGCCUUCGGGUUGUAACCCGCUUUCAGCCAUGACGCGGUAGUGGCAGAAGAAGCACCGGCUAACUACGUGCCAGCAGCCGCGGUAAUAC